rnacentral:rRNA from 1 species
CAAGUCGAGCGGACCCUUCGGGGUUAGCGGCGGACGGGUGAGUAACACGUGGGUAAUCUGCCCAACUGACUGGAAUAACGCCUGGAAACGGGUGCUAAUGCCGGAUAGGCAACUGGUAGGCAUCUACCGGUUGGGAAAGGUGCAACUGCACCGCAGAUGGAGGAGCCCGCGGCGCAUUAGCUAGUUGGUGGGGUAACGGCCUACCAAGGCGACGAUGCGUAGCCGACCUGAGAGGGUGGACGGCCACACUGGGACUGAGACACGGCCCAGACUCCUACGGGAGGCAGCAGUAGGGAAUCUUCCGCAAUGGGCGCAAGCCUGACGGAGCAACACCGCGUGAGCGAAGAAGGCCUUCGGGUUGUAAAGCUCAGUCACUCGGGAAGAGCGGACGAGGGAGUGGAAAGCCCUCGUCGAGACGGUACCGAGAGAGGAAGCCCCGGCUAACUACGUG